rnacentral:rRNA from 1 species
AUUGAACGCUGGCGGCAGGCCUAACACAUGCACGUCGAGCGAGCGGCGGACGGGUGAGUAAUGUAUGGGGACUGCCCGAUAGAGGGGGAUAACUACUGGAAACGGUGGCUAAUACCGCAUACUAUCGGAUAACCCAUAUGGGAUUGGCUAGUUGGUGGGGUAAAGGCUCACCUAGGCGACGAUUUCUAGCUGGUCUGAGAGGAUGAUCAACCAACAGGGGAUGUGGACACGUCACAGAAUCUUACGGAGGCGUCAGUGGGGAAUAUUUCACAAUGGGCGCAAACCUGAUGCCGCCAUGCCGCGGGUAGUAAGAAGGCCGUAGGGUUGUAAAGGACUUUCAGCGGGGAGGCGUUACCCGCAGAAGAAGCACCGGCUAACUCCGUGCCAGCAGCCGCGGUAAUUC